GGGCGGUUAGCUCAGUUGGUUAGAGCGCCACGUUGACAUCGUGGAAGUCGUUGGUUCGAAUCCAAUAUCGCCCA
rnacentral:tRNA from 2 species